rnacentral:rRNA from 1 species
GAAUUGAAGAGUUUGAUCAUGGCUCAGAUUGAACGCUGGCGGCAGGCUUAACACAUGCAAGUCGAACGGUAGCAGGAAGAAGCUUGCUUCUUUGCUGACGAGUGGCGGACGGGUGAGUAAUGCUUGGGAAUCUGGCUUAUGGAGGGGGAUAACUACGGGAAACUGUAGCUAAUACCGCGUAGUAUCGAGAGAUGAAAGACUGGGACCGCAAGGCCAGUUGCCAUAAGAUGAGCCCAAGUGGGAUUAGGUAGUUGGUGGGGUAAAGGCCUACCAAGCCGACGAUCUCUAGCUGGUCUGAGAGGAUGACCAGCCACACUGGAACUGAGACACGGUCCAGACUCCUACG